GCAAAGGUCUUUUGUGGGGAGAAGAGGGUCCAUAGCAUCAUCAUCAAAGGGGACAGUGUUCCGUAAAAGUUUGAGAACCACCGCUCCAAGAAUUUUGACAUCUUUAUCAAAUUAAUGCCAGUGCAGGAAGAACAUUUUCUUUGACUUUUAGGUGCUUUUAUACUCAUCUCGGAAAGAAAAAAUUCUGAACUCAGGAUUUAGCAAGUAUUUCUGUGUUGUCUCCUGGAUUGGGGAGUCCUGCUUCUUCUAUCCAACCACUUUCCCUAACCUUGAAAUGUGGAUCUCCCUCCUCUACACUUUACCUCCAUGAUUUGGAUUGGAAAAGGCUGCUUUUCCUUUUUUUCCCACCUUUCAAAUUCAACACAGAGAAGCUCCUAGGAUAAUCAUCCUGCCAACUUCUCCAGGAAAAAAGAAGCAACUGACAUGUUUCUUACCAAUUGCUUACCUGUAAAGAGAUUAUUUUGCAAGCUGAAGGGUGAUGUUUAAUUUAAAACUGGUGCUUAGAUGAUGGUAUUUGUGAAUUCUUUACCUUUUGUUCCCAAUAAGAAGACUAUAAAAAUAGCAAGUAUGGGUGUGACAUCAGGGGUUUUUUUUAAUGUCUUCCAGUUUUAACCACUAUCAUAAGUACAGUCAAGACUACAGCAGUAAAUUCCAGAUAUGUGUUGUACUUUGAAA